GUUACAUCAAUUAAUUUUGUCAUGUUUAUGAAUUGCAGCUUGAAACACUACACACCGACCCAUUACAAUGGCCAAGGAGAACGGCGGAAAGUGCGGCAACUGCGACUGCGCAGCGGGCACCUGCGCCAAGGAGAAUGGCGGCAAGUGCGGCAACUGCGAUUGCGCCGCAGGUUCUACUUCACAACCCUUAAUCCGUCACGACAGUCCUCAUCAGACAGGCAUAGGCUAAGCGCGUCAACUAGAGAACACAACCAUAUUCCUCGUCAUAUCUUGCUUUUCCGCUCACUAUAAUGGCGCAAACCAAAAGGUCGUCCUUGCAUGAUUUGCCGGCUUUUUUUGAACAUAUUACCAUGCAUGCCGCGUGAAAUUGUCGCUGACUGUGGCUAUGGUGGAGUUGACCCGU
rnacentral:lncRNA from 1 species